rnacentral:misc_RNA from 1 species
UUUGGCAAGGAAUUUCUUUUACUUUUAUUGAAAAAGAAAAAGAGCAAAGCAGUAUACAAUUGCAUAACCAUGCUUUGAGCCUCUAUUAACAAGAUUAUUAUGAUUUCGAAGGCACUGUAAAGCACGAAUCUUAAUGUUUGGACAAAGGAAUCAAAAUAUGUUGAAAGGCAUAACAAAAGGUGAUAUUUUAGUUGUGAUUGUUUUAAAUCAAAAUAUAAAGCAAAAUAAAAGAAUUAACAUUUACAUACGCUAACUUUCUAACAUUAAUUUAACCCUUCAAAAGUAUCAUUUAUUUUUAGAAUCCUCUUAACAAUAAUCCAGGACCAAUUCACCUUUCUUUAUCCAUGUAACUUCUUCCCCUUCAUCAUCCUGCGACUCACCAAUCAAAAUAAGGCCACGAUUGGGUUGAUUAAAUACACUCGAUUAGGCUUUUUCUUCUCUCUUUUCUUUGAAUCAUAUAGCCAAAUAUCUUCCAAUUCAGAAUUUGCUCAAAUCCCCCCUCCCCCUACCCCAUUGGAUGAGUACUGGGUCAGAGGGAUUAAUAUAAAGCCAUCAGACCAGCCCCCAUAUCUCGCACAUGCAUUUCCCAUUAUUCAACAAGAGCAUGCACAAUCAUUCAACAAAUUUUUUGAAUUCUCAAGGAAGUUCCCCGCAUUACACGUUCUCUUUCUUACACAUUCUGGGGAUAUACAAGCCAAAAAUUCCAAGGGAAUUUCUAUAAUGAAAGGAGGAUAACUACAUGCUUCUAUGAUUUAUUCAGCGUCCUGUUCUUAAUUUUAAUUCGAAAUCUUGGUGCAGAGUUACCUUCCGAUGGCUCAGGCUUAGUGUCCACAUAGGUGUUGGCCAUUUUGGAACCACUGGAUUCCCUUGGUUUCAACUGCACAGUUGCCAACUUAAUGCUGCUGGGUUCCUGUUUCUUAAUGCGCGAGUCUACCGAAGAUGCCUUUGCAUCAUCACUGAGCAGCUUUGCCAUUUCCUUCUCCUUCUGUUUUUUCUCUUUCUUCAACCUCUUCCGUUCCAGGUACUCUGGAUCAUCCCUGUGCCCUUUAUGAUCUUCCCGUUUCCGUUUCUUUUCCUUAUCUUUUUUCUUCUCCUUUUCUUUCCCACGAAAAGGAGAUACCACGGCAACUGAUGAACCGCCAUCAUGAUCAAAUCUUCCAACUGAGAGGGUUUGCAGACUAGCAUACUUUUGUGCACCACUGUCGACAUUGUUAUCUUGCAUGACACUAGGAGAUGAUGGAUCCUCAGGCUGAGGAUGCACAAAAACUUUGCUUGAAUCAGCAGUGCACUGGAGUUCCUUCCCAAAAUUGUCACCAUCACUUGUGAGUUUUGCACUGCCUAUGCUAGCAGUCAUCCGCGACCCAUGGUCAAGACAUGAGUUGACUUCCUCAAUAUUUUGAUUGCUUGCACUCACAGCCUCAGUUGAAAUCCUUUGGGGUGCAUCCACAGAAACGGAGCUGGUGGCCCCACGAUCAGUUUCAUGAUGCCUGCCUUGAGAUCUCUCAACAGUUUGAUUAUCAGCCUCCUCUGCUCUACUGGAAGCAGCAGAUUUUUUUACCCUAAUCUUAACAACUGGCAUCUUACGUUCAGGAUUGUUAGAGACUGUAUCUGCUUCCUUCAAAGAUUCUGGAAUUGCUGAAUCCAUCUUCUGCUCAUGAUUGUUGGAGAUCGUAUCUGGUUCCUUUGUAUCUUCUAUGAUGACCAAAUCCAUCUCACGCAGAAGAUUGCAGGAAACUGUAUCUGCUUCCUUGGGAGCCUCUUGACUAGCAAAAUCAUCCUGAUCAAGUUUUGGAAUGUCAGCAGGAGGCUCCAGAGGCUUUGUUUCUGGGACGAGUGCCGCAAAAACGUUCUUUGGCUCACAUGUUUCAGCAUCACCAAGACAUAAUGUUUUAUCUCUGGGAACCCCAUAUAGUGUCAGCGCUCUUCCUGCAAGGAUAUGUAAGAUGCAGAACAAGUUAUGCCGAAGAUAUAUAUUGUUGAAUGCUAAAUGUCCUUCUAGCACACUAAGCAAAGCCACAAGUGUUGUACUCUUGAUAUCAUCCUUGGAAUCAGAUCUGUCUCGAAUCUGACAUAACCGCAUAGCAUGUGCAGCAAGUUUUGCUUGCCCUGCAACCAAGAAAAGUAAAAGUGAUGCACACACUCUUAUAACACAUUCACAAGGAAAUAUUAAAAAUCUAAAAUCUUUGCCCCACACACACACACAGUGCAGAACCUCUUAAGGUUUGUUCUUCCUUCAAAUAUCUGAUAAACAAUGACAAUGCUGCAUCAAUGCCUCUGUAGUGGAAUUCCAGAUCCAGGAGUGCUCUGCUAGCUUCAAUUCGAAUUUGCCAUAAUGUCUUAAAAUCUUGAAAAGGUUUAAUGAGUUCAAAAACAUGAUCCUGCAGCAAGUAAUGAACCUAUCUAAAUCCCAAGAAUGGCUAAGAUGUUGGAAAGCAGCCUAUAGAUAUAGGCACUUACAAGAUGAACAGAUCCAGACAGCUUUAAGGCAAUUUGUACCAAUGUACGGAUGCAGCUGAUUGUCAAUAUACCAUUGUAGCUGGGCAUCAGCCUAGUAAAUGCCAAGUUAGUAACCUUAUUAUAAAACCCAUUUUAUCAAAAACAAUAAGAAGUCCUUGCACCUGUCAAAUUGCAGAAGCCGAUCAAUGCGCUUGAGAAGAGAUGAUAAAAAGACAACACUCUGUUGCCCAAAUUCAAGUUGACCCACUGACUGGACUAAUGCAGCAAGCCAGAACACAUCAGAAUAAGGAUUUCCAGUGUUAUCAUUAUACUUGAGAAGUUGCAAAACAAAUUCAAUAGCUUCCCUCGGGCUUUUCUUGUCUGCAGCUCUAACUGUUGCUACAGCUUGAGGAAUUGCCUCAUUGCAUUACCUCAAGAACAAAGUAUUCAGGAAAAUCAUGAAAGUCAUUUGGCUUGGGUAGUCCAAUUGUUGCAUCAAAUCUUUGACUUUUGUAAAAUUUCACCAAAUGAAGUAAACCAGACCAAUCAGUUUCCUCAGAUGCUGUAUUAGCCAAUGCAAAUGCUGCCUCAAUUCGAACUCUCCAGAAAGCCUUGGGGUCCCUGAGGAAAUUAUUCAGGGCAUUUACAACAGAAAAUGAUAGCUGCGGUAAAGCUUCUAAUGCUGCAAUUGCUUGUGCUUGAGCAACAACAUCCUCAUCCUUCUCUAACUGAUUAAUCCACAUCUGAACAGGUUGAUUAAACUGAAUUUCAGCAAGAUAUUCCAUUUCCGGAUCUGCCCUAAUCCAUAAUAAGGGGGAUUCCAAACUGGAGCGGAUAUCUGUUGCAGGUACAGCAUCACCAUUUUCAUCAGAUCCAUCAGGUUUUGAACCUUUUUUAGGCUUCUGGAAGCGUCUAGCAGCAAGCUUGGAAUGGCACUGUAUUUCCAGAAGCUGCCACAUUUCUCCAGCCAAAGGAAGAAUAGGGUGGUCAUACAUUCCAUCAAGCUCAUAAACCCUGAUACUCAUCAUCCCAGGCCAUCCAAUAUCUCCUUCUCGAUUAUCAGAAUCAGAGUUCAGAACUGAUGCACUUGCAUCAGGGGUAGCUGUGCACUCUCUUAGCACCGCCAAUUCAACCAUAUUUUUCCUUUUAUUGUAUGAGAACCCCAUCCUCAACAUUGGACACCCACAUGAGCCAACCCACCUAGGGAAAAACUCUUUCACAAAUGGGCGCUCCAGAUUUCCAACCUUAGUAGCAAAAUGUCGAAACUCUUUUGUACUAAGACAUCUCACAGGGUUUGUAUCCCGUGCCCGAAAGACAACUUUCUGCAAAAUUUUGCGGAAGGAUUCUGGCCCCAUUUGCUUUUCCAACAUUUGCAGGAUUGCCACAGACUUCCAAGAUCGUAUUUUCCCAUAUAUACCAAUGCAAUGGGUUCCAUAUAAAUCCUUGCAAGAAGCAGAGGAGGUUAAAGCUGUUGCACCACUAUCAUCUGCUUUGCAAACAGCGCAAUUUGCCUUGUAUCUCCUAUAGCGUGCCUCAUUAUUUCCUAAAAAUUUCUUGAUGAACAAAUCCGUCAAGAAACCGGCAAGCCCAUCCAGAAGCCAUUCAUCACUGGGUUCCUCAGGGACUACAUAAACUCCAAACCACUGCUUUGCAAGUGCAAAAGCUAGUUUAAUGCUUGUGUCUAUGGUCUGAUCAAUAACCCUCUCAUCAUAUAAAACUUGAGAACUAAAGAUGCUAAUGGAGGCUCCCAAACUUGAUGAGGAUACAGCCAUCUCAGGAGCUAAGAACACUUGCGUGUAUGACCCAAAUGGAAAUUUCGCAUCAAGGUAUUCUUCAUAAUGGUUGAAUGCAUUAUGAAAAAACUCCACAGUAUUCCGAAGCUUUGACAGAUUAGCUGGCAAACACAUGUGUGAUAUGAAACCAAGAUGGUGAUCUGGAAGGAUUUCAAAUGGUGCAACCACUAAAGAUAUCCAUUGAGCAGUUACUGGAACAUCUAAUCUGUAGACAUAUGUUUUAUGAGAAUGAUCAUCCUUGCUCAAAACCUGGUAUAGUAAGCUUCCAGUACUGACAGCAACAAGAUUGUGGGCAACGGUGAACUCCAGAUCAUAACAGCAACGCUGCGAAGCUUCAUCCAUACAUGGGAACCAGCACCUUGCUCGCCUUAUCUGGUUAUCAGUAUGUAGCACAUUAUCAUUGAAGUGAAUCCCUGUCUCUGCUUUCUCUACCCAAUAAUUGAUGCGAACCAAUUUCACAUUCUGCUUGGCUUCACCAUUAUCUAAAUUCACUUGAUCCUGUUGUUCAUUUGGAGCCCUGAUGAGAAGAUUCGGAACCAGUUCUUUCUCGAGUGCUGAAGUAUAGGCAGAGGCAGCAGUAUCAGCAGCUAAGCUAGGAGUGGAGACCCUGCUCCAUUUUUUCUCACUUUCCACCACAUUUUGCUGACGUGGGUAGUAUUCAAACUCCGUAGGCUCCCCAUCCACAAACACACUCUCUAUACCUAAAUUCUCCGCAUGUAACCCCACAAUUCCAAUGUCAGGGACAGCGAUUUCCAACUCUGUGUAGCCGUAGAUUUGGCGCUUAUCCAUUUUGAUGGAGAGGCAGAGCUUCUGGUGACGGACUACAGCUCCGGAAUUAUCGGGCUUGGAGUCGUCGAUCUUCGGCUUACGCGGCUUCGCCAUGGCUAAUCUAAAUCUAUUAGUGUUGCCAGUGCUUGUGUCUUAGCGCGCUUUGUUGGGAUUAGGAUGGGGUGCUUUCAUUUAUAGAAGUCAUCGAGAGUUCUCUGGUUUUUGGGCCGCUCUCGAAGACGAUUGUGCCCUAACUCUCAUUUCUUAAUCUGGAGCGUACAUAUUG